GCCUAACACAUGCAAGUCGAACGAGAAAGUGGAGCAAUCCUUGAGUACAGUGGCGACCGGGUGAGUAACACGUGACUAACCUACCCUCGAGUGGGGAAUAACUCCGGGAAACCGGAGCUAAUACCGCAUAACAUCGCAAGAUCAAAGCCGAAAGGCGCUUGAGGAGGGGGUCGCGGCUGAUUAGCUAGUUGGCAGGGUAAUGGCCUACCAAGGCAAAGAUCGGUAUCCGGCCUGAGAGGGCGCACGGACACACUGGAACUGAAACACGGUCCAGACUCCUACGGGAGGCAGCAGUGGGGAAUUUUCCGCAAUGGGCGAAAGCCUGACGGAGCAAUACCGCGUGAGGGAGGAAGGCUCUUGGGUCGUAAACCUCUUUUCUCAGGGAAGAACACAAUGACGGUACCUGAGGAAUAAGCAUCGGCUAACUCCGUGCCAGCAGCCGCGGUAAUAC
rnacentral:rRNA from 2 species